GGCUUUGGCAGCACAUACUGUAUACUGAAACUGGAACAGUACAGAGGAGAUUAGCAUGGCCCUGUGGGAGGAUGACAUGCAAAUUCAUGAAGCAUUCCAUCUUUUU